UGCCAGCAGCCGCGGUAAUACGGAGGGUGCGAGCGUUGUUCGGAAUUACUGGGCGUAAAGGGCGCGUAGGCGGCUUUGUAAGCGUAAGGUGAAAUGUUGGGGCUCAACCCCAACCCCGCUUUAUGAACUGCAAGGCUAGAGAUAGAUAGGGGCAGAUGGAAUUCCUGGUGUAGAGGUGAAAUUCGUAGAUAUCAGGAGGAACACUAGUGGCGAAGGCGAUCUGCUGGGUCUUAUCUGACGCUGAGGCGCGAAAGUGUGGGUAGCAAACAGGAUUAGAUA
rnacentral:rRNA from 1 species